GACGAACGCUGGCGGCGUGCUUAACACAUGCAAGUCGAACGAAGAGCGAUGGAAGCUUGCUUCUAUCAAUCUUAGUGGCGAACGGGUGAGUAACGCGUAAUCAACCUUCCCUUCAGAGGGGGACAACAGUUGGAAACGACUACUCAUACCGCAUACUAUCUAAUCUCGGCAUCGAGGAUAGAUGAAAGGUGGCCUCUACAUGUAAGCUAUCACUUAAGGUGGGGGUUGCGGCUGAUUAGGUAGUUGGCGGGGUAACGGCCCACCAAGGUGAGGAUCAGUAGCCGGACGGAGAGGACGAACGGCCACAUUGGGACGGAGACAGGGCCCAGACUGCUACGGGAGGGAGCAGUGGGGAAACGGGCGGAAUGGAUGGAAAACAGACGGAGAAACGCCGCGGGAGGGAUGACGGACGUCGGGUUGGAAAGCUCUGUUAAUCGGGACGAAAGGCCUUCUUGCGAAUAGGGAGAAGGAUUGACGGUACCGGAAUAGAAAGCCACGGCUAACUACGUG
rnacentral:rRNA from 1 species